UUCUCUCUCUUUCUCCUUUCUCUCUCGCGAAAAUUCCCCAAUCGCCGAUGAACCUCGCCUCGCUUUAUCUCUCCUAGUCCACAAAUUUUGCCGCACCCGCCGCCCUGCAGUCCCACUGGCCAGCAGACCUGCGAGACGGUCUGUGGUUCCAACCUGAGCCUGCUCCUCCUGGGCCUCUACCUGAUCCCCAUCGGCGACGGCGCGGUGCGCGCGUGCCUGCUGGCGCUGGGCGCUAGGAGCAGCGGCAGGAGACGAGCUUCUUCAACUGGUACAUCUUCGUUGUGUCCUCGGGCGGCUUCGUUGGCCUAGUGCUCCUCGUGUGGUUGGACAUCGGCUUCACCCUGUGUGCACUGUAGGUGCUGCUGGGGAUGCUCAUAUGGCUGGCUGGCUUCUCUUUCUACAGGAAUCAGUUGCCCGAUGGAAGCUCCAUCACGAGAAUCUUGCAGGUUCUUGUUGUGGCAUUCAAGAAAGAAAUGUUCAGUUGCCUGACAACUCAAGUGAACUGAAGCAGCUGAACCAAGAUGGAUCUCAUGGAGCCCGAAGAACCCAGGGACAAGGGAGUCGACUGCAGAUAUUUACUUUGGCAUGAUGAUCCACACACUUCAUUUGUGAGCAUGUUGUGUCUCGACUGAAGGAACGGCAGCUUGUCGAAGAAUAAGAUGUUGGACGCGUAUCUGCGUGAUUUGGAAGCCAAGCAUCAUGGAGAAGUUGUUGUCCUGAAGAACAAGAUUCAGAAAGUGCAGUUGUUCCUUGUGGUUGCUCUGUUCUGCUUUGCCAUUUCCUUCUUUUGGAAAUGAUUUACAUCAUGAAAAAAAUUGUUUGUGAAGGACUCAUUUAUGUAUGCUGUUAAGCAAGAUGCAAAAUGUAUGUUGGAGAAGUUGAUGUCCUGAAUGUAUGUUCUGUUAUGAAAACAUUCAGAAUUUGUAUUGAGUGAUGUUAUGAAAAAUCAAAUUUUGGUACUUGUGCUAUGUUUUAUGUGUGCCAUCAUGUAUGUGCCGUCGGAUAUUCCUAUGUGUGUUGCCAUGUAUGUGUGCUGUCA